rnacentral:lncRNA from 1 species
GCCACCUCCUGGCCUAGGUGGUUGCACCUCCUGGUGCAAUCAGGGUCCGAAUGGUUAGCUCCAUUCGGCCCAAUUUCAGUCUUUCAGGGGCCCAAUUGCCCCAAGAUUAAGCUAAUGGGAUCACCUCCCAUUUUCUAACUUAAUCAACGUGCUAACUACAAUUAGAUCUAAGACAAUUUCUGCAGCUUUGCUUCGGUGCGUCAAUCGCUUCUUCCGGC